rnacentral:rRNA from 1 species
CAGCACCUCAAGUGGUCAGGAUGAUUAUUGGGCCUAAAGCAUCCGUAGCCGGCUCUGUAAGUUUUCGGUUAAAUCUGUACGCUUAACGUACGGGCUGCCGGGAAUACUGCAGCGCUAGGGAGUGGGAGAGGUAGACGGUACUCGGUAGGAAGGGGUAAAAUCCUUUGAUCUAUUGAUGACCACCUGUGGCGAAGGCGGUCUACCAGAACACGUCCGACGGUGAGGGAUGAAAGCUGGGGGAGCAAACCGGAUUAGAUACCCGAGUAGUCC